UCAUCAUGUCAAUCGGAAUUAGAUCCAAGAAACUUAAAUAUCAUCCAAGACACUUUGUGGGUCCUAUCUGGGUGAUCAGUCAACACAAGGGAAUGGCUUGAGAUACUUCCAACAUGUUCAAAUGGGGUUUAUUCAUCAUUCAAAACGUUAAUCUUGAAGGAGCAAAAGUUUGUUCAUGAACUGUCAUGCUCUCUAGGCGAAGCCCACGCGUUUCGAAAAAAAAACGAAAAAACGAAAAAAAAAACAAAAAUAAAUAAAUAAAUAAAUAAAAUAUAACAGAAAAGUC
rnacentral:lncRNA from 1 species